UACAGAGGAGCCAAGCGUUGUCCGGAUUGACUGGGCGUAAAGCGCACGUAGGCGGAUUGUUAAGUCAGGGGUGAAAUCCUGGAGCUCAACUCCAGAACUGCCUUUGAUACUGGCGAUCUUGAGUCCGGGAGAGGUGAGUGGAACUGCGAGUGUAGAGGUGAAAUUCGUAGAUAUUCGCAAGAACACCAGUGGCGAAGGCGGCUCACUGGCCCGGUACUGACGCUGAGGUGCGAAAGCGUGGGGAGCAAACAGG
rnacentral:rRNA from 1 species